rnacentral:rRNA from 1 species
GAUGAACGCUGGCGGCGUGCCUAAUACAUGCAAGUCGAGCGAACAGACGAGGAGCUUGCUCCUCUGACGUUAGCGGCGGACGGGUGAGUAACACGUGGAUAACCUACCUAUAAGACUGGGAUAACUUCGGGAAACCGGAGCUAAUACCGGAUAAUAUAUUGAACCGCAUGGUUCAAUAGUGAAAGACGGUUUUGCUGUCACUUAUAGAUGGAUCCGCGCCGCAUUAGCUAGUUGGAAGGUAACGGCUUACCAAGGCAACGAUGCGUAGCCGACCUGAGAGGGUGAUCGGCCACACUGGAACUGAGACACGGUCCAGACUCCUACGGGAGGCAGCAGUAGGGAAUCUUCCGCAAUGGGCGAAAGCUUGACGGAGCAACGCCGCGUGAGUGAUGAAGGUCUUCGGAUCGUAAAACUCUGUUAUUAGGGAAGAACAAAUGUGUAAGUAACUAUGCACGUCUUGACGGUACCUAAUCAGAAAGCCACGGCUAACUACGUG